GAUGAACGCUGGCGGCGUGCCUAAUACAUGCAAGUCGAGCGAACGGACGAGGAGCUUGCUUUUCUGAUGUUAGCGGCGGACGGGUGAGUAACACGUGGAUAACCUACCUAUAAGACUGGGAUAACUUCGGGAAACCGGAGCUAAUACCGGAUAAUAUUUUGAACCGCAUGGUUCAAAAGUGAAAGACGGUCUUGCUGUCACUUAUAGAUGGAUCCGCGCUGCAUUAGCUAGUUGGUAAGGUAACGGCUUACCAAGGCAACGAUGCAUAGCCGACCCGAGAGGGUGAUCGGCCACACUGGAACUGAGACACGGUCCAGACUCCUACGGGAGGCAGCAGUAGGGAAUCUUCCGCAAUGGGCGAAAGCCUGACGGAGCAACGCCGCGUGAGUGAUGAAGGUCUUCGGAUCGUAAAACUCUGUUAUUAGGGAAGAACAUAUGUGUAAGUAACUGUGCACAUCUUGACGGUACCUAAUCAGAAAGCCACGGCUAACUACGUG
rnacentral:rRNA from 1 species